CCAGUGAGAGUACCUUACUAUAUCAUGUCCAAUAAUAAUUACUAUAGUAUUUGAUGCUGCCUUCUUUUUUGACAUGCUGAGUGCCCCCCUUCCUAUGGCAUGAUCAUAAUUUGUCGAUGCAUUAGGAGUCGAGUUGGGUGGGCUUCCAAGGAGAGGAGUAUCCCAUGCAUUAGGAGCCGAGCUGGCUGUGCUUCCAUUGAGAGGAGCACUCCUGAAGAAGAUGAUUUUGUCCUGUGUCAUGCUUCCAGGAAAAGUUCAAGCUCAUACGAGCCAACGACGAUGCUACUGUGUUGGACGCUCUCUCACUCAGCACCCCCAAGAUCAGACUGCUUCGCAGCUUGACAGUCAAAAAGAUGAACUCUGUUCAGGUACAUAUAUUCGGUAGUAACAUAUGGAGUCAUCAUAUAUCUUGUGGCAUGAUUGCCCAGUGGGCAAGACUGACCGGCAAAAUCUACUAAAGCAGAAAGGGUGUGUUGUUUGGAUUACAGGCCUUAGUGGUACAGGUAAUUCAAGAUUACCUAGGUUGUGAGGUGUGCUUCAUGAAAUGCGAGUGCAUUUUUUGAGUUAUUCAAGUAUGGGUCAUUCAACUA